AUGGAAGGGGCCCUGGGCAGGAAGGGGAGCCGGCUGUCGAGGAGAGAGCCCAGUGGUCAAUCAAGAAAGGGCCGCAGGAGGAAAGUCUUAGCCAAGUCGUCCUUGAUCAGAAGGGUGAUCAGCACCGCGAAAGCCCCAGGUGCCAUUGGACCCUGCAGCCAAGUUGUGUUAGCCGACAGGACCGUUUACAUUUCAGGACGGAUAGGCAUGGACCCUUCAGCUUGUGUCAGGAGGGGUGGCAGAAGAAGCUAAACAAGCUCUUAAAAACAUGAGUGAAAUUCUGAAAGCUGCAAGCUGCGACUUCACUCAUGUGGUGAAAACAGCUGUUCUUCUGGCUGACAUAAAUGACUUCAAUACUGUCAAUGAAAUCUACAAACAGUAUUUGAAGAGUAAUUUUCCUGCUAGAGCUGCUUACCAAGUUGCUGCUUUGCCCAAAGGUGCCCGAAUUGAAAUUGAAGCAGUAGCUGUCCAAGGACCUCUGACAACAGCAUCACUAUAAGUGGGCGCAGUGCUGUGUAGUCUGGAAUUUUUAACAUUUUAACUUUUACAAUUGAUAUAACAUCUUAAUUAACAUUUUAAUUUUCACAAUAUUGAUGACAGUGUGAAUUUGAUGAAUAUCUGAUGUUAUUAUGGAUAUACCAUAUAAUAGGGAGAGUUGAACAUGAACUGAAGAUUAAAGAAUCCAGUUACUGUUUUAAAUUACAUCUGUGUGCACCUGUAUUCCUGAAUACAGGAAAGAGACACUUAUUACGUACUUAAUAAAUAAAAGAGAAAUAACAGGCAGGAAAGAAGACUUAUUAUUCCUGAGAAAUAAUCAAGAACAUAUCUAAUUCAAACUAAUGAUGUGAACGAUUUAAUUCUCAUGUCAGGUAUGUGAUUCUGCUUUUUCUGAGUAAAAUUAAAGUGUUUAUAUUUGAGGUCAAGGAGAAGAAAGUGGACCAAAAUGUUAUAUAGAUAAUAUUUUUCUAACGGAAAUAAAAUAGAUAUGCAGAUUUCAAAAAAAAAAAAAA